AUUGAACGCUGGCGGCAGGCCUAACACAUGCAAGUCGAGCGGAUGAAGGGAGCUUGCUCCUGGAUUCAGCGGCGGACGGGUGGGUAAUGCCUAGGAAUCUGCCUGGUAGUGGGGGAUAACGUCCGGAAACGGGCGCUAAUACCGCAUACGUCCUGAGGGAGAAAGUGGGGGAUCUUCGGACCUCACGCUAUCAGAUGAGCCUAGGUCGGAUUAGCUAGUUGGUGGGGUAAAGGCCUACCAAGGCGACGAUCCGUAACUGGUCUGAGAGGAUGAUCAGUCACACUGGAACUGAGACACGGUCCAGACUCCUACGGGAGGCAGCAGUGGGGAAUAUUGGACAAUGGGCGAAAGCCUGAUCCAGCCAUGCCGCGUGUGUGAAGAAAGUCCUCGGAUUGUAAAGCACUUUAAGUUGGGAGGAAGGGCAGUAAGUUAAUACCUUGCUGUUUUGACGUUACCAACAGAAUAAGCACCGGCUAACUUCGUG
rnacentral:rRNA from 1 species